rnacentral:rRNA from 1 species
CUGGCGGCGCGCCUAACACAUGCAAGUCGAACGGGAACAUCCGUAGCAAUAUGGGUGUUUAGUGGCGGACGGGUGAGUAACGCGUGAGGAACCUACCUUUCGGAGGGGAAUAACACAUCGAAAGAUGUGCUAAUACCGCAUAAUGUCAUCGGGUGGCAUCGCCUGAUGACCAAAAGAGCAAUCUGCCGAAAGAUGGCCUCGCGUCCGAUUAGAUAGUUGGUGAGGUAACGGCCCACCAAGUCUGCGAUCGGUAGCCGGACUGAGAGGUUGAACGGCCACAUUGGGACUGAGACACGGCCCAGACUCCUACGGGAGGCAGCAGUGGGGGAUAUUAGUCAAUGGAGGAAAAACCUCUGAACUAGCGACGCCGCGUGAGGGAAGAAGGUCUUCGGAUUGUAAACCUCUGUCUUCGGGGACGAUAAUGACGGUACCCGAGGAGGAAGCUCCGGCUAACUACGUGCCAGCCGCCGC